AACGAACGCUGGCGGCAGGCUCAACACAUGCAAGUCGAGCGCUCUCUUGGGAGGGAGCGGCGGACGGGUUAGUAACGCGUGGGAACGUACCCUUCUGUACGGAAUAGCCUCGGGAAAAUGAGAGUAAUACCGUAUACGCCCUUUGGGGGAAAGAUUUAUCGGAGAAGGAUCGGCCCGCGUCGGAUUAGGUAGUUGGUGGGGUAACGGCCUACCAAGCUUACGAUCCAUAGCUGGUUUGAGAGGAUGAUCAGCAACACUGGGAUUGAGACACGGCCCAGACUCCUACGGGAGGCAGCAGUGGGGAAUCUUAGACAAUGGGCGCAAGCCUGAUCUAGCCAUGCCGCGUGAGUGAGGAAGCCCUUAGGGUGGUAAAGUUCUUUCGCCAGGGAUGAUAAUGACAGUACCUGGUAAAGAAACCCCGGCUAACUCCGUGCCAGCAGCCGCGGUAAUACGGAGGGGGUUAGCGUUGUUCGGAAUUACUGGGCGUAAAGCGUGCGUAGGCGGAUUAUUAAGUUAGGGGUGAAAUCCCGGGGCUCAACCCCGGAACUGCCUCUAAUACUGGUAGUCUAGAGUUUGAGAGAGGUGAGUGGAAUUCCGAGUGUAGAGGUGAAAUUCGUAGAUAUUCGGAGGAACACCAGGGCGAAGGCAGGCUCACUGCCUCAGAUACUGA
rnacentral:rRNA from 1 species